rnacentral:rRNA from 1 species
GACGGAGGAUGCAAGCGUUAUCCGGAAUGAUUGGGCGUAAAGCGUCCGCAGGUGGCAGUUCAAGUCUGCUGUCAAAGACCGGGGCUUAACUUCGGAAAGGCAGUGGAAACUGAACAGCUAGAGUAUGGUAGGGGCAGAGGGAAUUCCUGGUGUAGCGGUGAAAUGCGUAGAGAUCAGGAGGAAUACCGAUGGCGAAGGCAGGUCCCUGGGCUGACACUGACGCUCAUGCACGAAAGCGUGGGGAGCAAACAGG